rnacentral:lncRNA from 1 species
GAGGUAUCUGAUGCUCAAGUCAAUCAAGUUGUUAGUGGUGCAUUGGACCGUUUGCAUUAUGAACGUGAUCCUUGUGUACAGUUUGAUAAUGAGAAGAAGCUCUGGGUUUACUUACAUAGAGAUAGAGAAGAAGAAGAUUUUGAGGAUGAUGGUACUUCAUCUACAAAGAAAUGGAAGAGGCAAAAGAAAGAAGCUCCCAGAAGAUUUUGAGGAUGAUGGAACUUCAUCUACAAAGAAAUGGAAGAGACAAAAGAAAGAAGCUCCCGAACCCUCUGACCAAGUAGCAGUAACCAUCGCUUAUCAUGGCACAGGGGAGCAAAACGGUUUUGAUUUGAGCUCAGAUCUCAAUGUUG